rnacentral:rRNA from 1 species
UGGUCAAUCUAGUGGCGAACGGGUGAGUAACACGUGGGUAACCUGCCCAUCAGAGGGGGAUAACAUCCGGAAACGGAUGCUAAACCGCAUAGGUCUUCGAACCGCAUGGUUUGAAGAGGAAAAGAGGCGCAAGCUUCUGCUGAUGGAUGGACCCGCGGUGCAUUAGCUAGUUGGUGAGGUAACGGCUCACCAAGGCCGUGAUGCAUAGCCGACCUGAGAGGGUGAUCGGCCACAUUGGGACUGAGACACGGCCCAAACUCCUACGGGAGGCAGCAGUAGGGAAUCUUCCGCAAUGGACGCAAGUCUGACGGAGCAACGCCGCGUGAGUGAAGAAGGUUUUCGGAUCGUAAAACUCUGUUGUUAGAGAAGAACAAGUGCUAGAGUAACUGUUAGCGCCUUGACGGUAUCUAACCAGAAAGCCACGGCUAACUACGUGCCAGCAGCCGCGGUAAUACGUAGGUGGCAAGCGUUGUCCGGAUUUAUUGGGCGUAAAGCGAGCGCAGGCGGUUCCUUAAGUCUGAUGUGAAAGCCCCCGGCUCAACCGGGGAGGGUCAUUGGAAACUGGGGAACUUGAGUGCAGAAGAGGAGAGUGGAAUUCCAUGUGUAGCGGUGAAAUGCGUAGAUAUAUGGAGGAACACCAGUGGCGAAGG